rfam:Brassica napus, WGS project CCCW01000000 data, contig: 2829
AGAAUGAGGUUGACCCAAGGAUGACUUGCCUAUUUUUACCAACGCAUCUAAAUUUUGAUUCUGGUGCUAGGCAAGUUGGGCUUGGCUCUCUUUCCUUCUCU